AAGAUCUCUCUUGUGAGUUGAUUCUUUCAGGGCAGCUUGUUGGAACAUCUGCGCGGUCCAUCAGCAGGCAUGGAGGUGUGGCGCUUCCUCGUCGAUUGGGACGCUCUGGGCUUAGUCCUUCUUCGCCACUUGGAAACGAAAGCCCGGGACCAGAAAACGCGCCUCCGUCACCAGGGGCAUAAAGUUGAUGAAUGUAUAUGGAUGCAAUUUGAAGUAAGUAGUUAUGCAUGGGGGAAAGUUAAUUUGUUGUUGAAGAAUGUAUGCGGAUGCAAUAUAAAAUUCUCAUGUUUCGUAGUAAGGAGAAAAGGAUAAAUGAAAUUGUUAUGCCUGAUAUAAUUUGUAAUUCCGUAAUUUAUUUUGGAAAUGCAUUGCAUUUUUAGAGAUAUUCGCGUGUUUGUCUACAUCUAUAAAAUUUUGAAUUCAUGUGAUGGAAAAGUUCUUCUUUAAGUAGAAACCUGUGAGUUUCUUCUUCUUUUUUUUUUUUUGGUUGUUGUUGUAAAGGAUGGGCGAGUUCAUAGCAUUUUAAUCUUCUAAGAAUUGACAGGACGUUAUUUUUUAAACAUUUCCUCCCUAAGAUUAAACUAUUAGAAUGGAUCUAGCAUGAUUCAGAGGUAACCUGGUUUCUUCUUUCUUUUCUUUUUGAUAAUAUUUUAGGCCUUUCUGGUUAUUAAUUUGGGCCAGGUCAAUUAAGCAUGGAUCGAACCAAACCAUCGCAUUUGGAUCUUCGCUGACCCUAUUCUAGGUUCAGCUCCAAUGAAAGAAAAAAGUUUUUUUUUGUUUGGCCUGCCUUUUUAAAGAAAAUAAGAAAAAGUACACUAUUUAUGGUGCGAAGCCCACCAAGAGAACUGUGAAGCGGCCACCAACC
rnacentral:lncRNA from 1 species